GACGAACCGUGCGAACGUUGUUCGGAUUCACUGGGCUUAAAGGGCGCGUAGGCGGGUGACCAAGUCCGGGGUGAAAUCUUCCGGCCUAACCGGAAAAGUGCCUUGGAUACUGGUCGCCUGGAGGGAGGUAGGGGCACGCGGAACUCCAGGUGGAGCGGUGAAAUGCGUAGAUAUCUGGAGGAACGCCGGUGGCGAAGGCGGCAUUCUGGACCGAAACUGACGCUGAGGCGCGAAAGCCAGGGGAGCAAACGGG
rnacentral:rRNA from 1 species